CUGGGCAUGGCGGUGGACGCCUGUAGUCCCAGCUACGCGGGAGGCUGAGGCAGAAGAAUGGCGUGAACCUGGGAGGUGGAGCUNNUGAAGUGGGCAGAUCACGAAGUCAGAAGAUCGAGACCAUCCUGGCUAACACACUGAAACCCCAUCUCUACUAAAAAAAUACAAAAAAAUUAGUCGGGCAUGGUGGCGGGCGCCUGUAGUCCCAGCUACUCGGGAGGCCGAGGUAGGAGAAUGGCAUGAACCCGGGAGGCAGAGCUUGNNNNNNNNNNGUGAUCCUCCUGCCUUGGCUUCCCAAAGUGCUAAGAUUACAAGCGAUAGCUACCAGGCCCAGUCUCACUAUUAUACAUUAAGAUAAUUUUUAUAAAAAGAACUAUGUUGGCCGGGCGCAGUGGCGCACGCUUGUAUUCCCAGCACUUUGGGAGGGCGAGGCACGUGGAUCAUCUGAGGUCAGGAAUUUGAGACCAGCCUGGCCAACAUGGUGAAACCCCAUCUCUACUAAAAAUACAAAAAUUAGCUGGGCGAAGGCCGGGUGCAGUGGCUCACGCCUGUAAUCCCAGCACUUUGGGAGACUAAGGCGAGCAGAUCACAAGGUCAGGAGAUCGAGACCACCCUGGCUAACACAGUGAAACCCUGUGUCUACUAAAAAUACAAAAAUUAGCUGGGCGAAGCCUGGGCACAGUGGCUCACGAAUGUAAUCCCAGCACUUUGGGAGGCUGAAGUGGGCAGAUCACGAAGUCAGGAGAUCGAGACCAUCCUGGCUAACACACUGAAACCCCAUCUCUACUAAAAAAAUACAAAAAAAUUAGUCGGGCAUGGUGGCGGGCGCCUGUAGUCCCAGCUACUCGGGAGGCUGAGGUAGGAGAAUGGCAUGAACCCGGGAGGCAGAGCUUGANNNNNNNNNNAACAAACAAAAAACCCUGUGUUUGCCAAGAGAAAAAAAAGUGUAGUGAGAUGAAUGACAUUGUUAUACAUU
rnacentral:lncRNA from 1 species